CCCCUACUAAUAAAGCGGAAGCACAACAACUUGUUGCGCUUGUAUCGCCAUCGUCAGGAUGUCGCAGGUGGAGGUGAGCGAGGGCAGCGUGGAGGUGCCAUGCUGCACGUCGCCACUCUUCUACAGACAAAGUCGACCGUCCUCAGGAGACGCCAAGACGUCCGUUUUGCUUCUUCACGGCCGCCGCUUCUCCUCGGAAAACUGGCUCAGCGUCGGCACUCUGCACGCGCUGGCCAAUGCCGGCUACCGAGCCGUCGCCGUCGACCUUCCAGGACUGGGCCGCUCCAGCUCAGCCGAGGCGCCGGCGGCCGUGGGCGAGCUGGCCCCCGCUGCGUUCCUGACGGACGUGUGCGAGCGACUGCGGCUGAGCCCCGUGGUGCUGAUCAGCCCGUCACUCAGCGGCAUGUAUUCGCUCCCCUUCCUGCUGCAACAGCAGCACCUGCUGCGCGGCUACAUCCCCGUCGCACCCAUCUGCACCGACAAGAUCAGCGCCCAACAGUACCGCAGCGUCAAGGUGCCGACGUUGAUCGUCUACGGCGACGGUGACACUGAGCUGGGGCAGGUGUCGCUUAGCAACCUGAGUCAGCUGGCCAAUCACAGCGUGGCAGUGAUGAAAGGGGCAGGGCACGCCUGCUACCUGGACGACCCGGACGCAUGGCAUCGGCUACUCAUGGACUUCCUCGCUAAACUUUGAGGUGGAGGGCCCUUUUCUGUAGCGCGCCACUGUCAUUUCCUCGCACGGGUUCUCCUCCAUGACUGGAAAUAAGCGAUUAAGGAAAAAGAGCAGAGAUUUUCUCCACGUCAACAACAUCAUCGCACCAGAGGAUACACUCCUCCUCCUCCUGGGACAGCGUUUCGAUCUUGCAGGCGUUGCAGGGCAUCUUCUCGGCCACCACGAACAACAGUUGCCACAGUCCUGCAGCAUGUUGAAGGAGCUGCUCAGGUUACUCAGGUAGUACUGAGUCUGGAUCAUGACACAGCUCCGAUCCUUGGAGUCCAGUCCUUCGGCCUCCACCUUAUCUGCACGCACACAAACACGAAUCUAUACAAUUACCUACAAAAAGUUACACGUACAGUGAACACUCGCUACUUCGCGGUUCGACUAUUGCAAAUUCAUGACUUUUACAGUGAAAUUUUGCAUGCUGUUUUUUACAGCGUACAAACUCUCAUUGUAUUCUGUAUAAUAAUAUAAUAAUAAUGUACUUAUUUUUCUGACAAAGGUUUGAACUUUGAGCGUGUUUAAACAAGAGAAAUGUGAGAAAAUGUUAAUGGUGAGGUUUAAAGCCUUAAAACACAGUAUAAUAAUUGUAAAAAAUAAAGUUGCCGACUGGUUAGAGCGUCUGCCUCACAGUUCUGAGGUGCGGGGUUCAAUCCCCGGCCCCGCCUGUGUGGAGUUUGCAUGUUCUCCCCGUGCCUGCGUGGGUUUUCUCCGGGCACUCCGGUUUCCUCCCACAUCCCAAAAACAUGCAUUAAUUGGAGACUCUAAAUUACCCGUAGGCGUGACUGUGAGUGCGAAUGGUUGUUUGUUUCUACGUGCCCUGCGAUUGGCUGGCAACCAGUUCAGGGUGUACCCCGCCUCCUGCCCGAUGACAGCUGGGAUAGGCUCCAGCACGCCCGCGACCCUCGUGAGGAGGAGCGGCUCAGAAAAUGGAUGGAUGGAAAGUUUCCUACUUCACGGAGUUCACCUAUUGGGGGUUAUUUUUGGAACGUAACCCCGUGAUAAACGAGGGAACCCUGUACUUGACUUUUGGGUGAAAUUUCAGGAUAAACCUAAAAUGCACUAUAACCUUUACAGCUGAAUUAUUUUGAUCUCUAAACCUUUGAAUGCCCAGAGUGACUGGAGGAGUCACAGAAAGGCAUAGAAGUGGACGUACUUGGAAAUGUAUUGGCCGAUUCAUGGAUCAAAAACCUGUCGUGAAUUUUGAUGUUCAGCUCCUUGUUAGAGGAAAGCAAGUCGUGCAAAACGUACAGAAAAUUUGAAGAGCUGGACAUGUGCAAGCAAAGGUUUAGAGAAGGUCAAAUGAAGUUCAUCUGUGAAGUUGAUUGUGCAUUUUAGGUUCAUCCUGAAAUUUUACCUGAAGGCAAAAUAUUCCUAACCUUUUGGGAGUAGUGUAUGUACAAGUUUACACGUGACUUUUUGCUUAAGUGCGUUUCAAAGUGUGCAUUUCAAGUAGGUGCGUGGGUAAGUAGAAAAUCUCCUGUUUGAAGCUGGGUACAUAACGAUUAAUCGGGCUGAUUUUGAGCAUUACCCUUCCGAUCAAAACUCCUGAUUAUCAGAUAUCUUUAAAAGAUUAUCUUAAGCGAUUAUCCUGUGGUGUGGGGUGUGUUAUGUACAAUUUUUCUGCAGAAAACAGCCAUCAACAAUCGUGAAUGUUAAACCUUUUCAAUAUUUACAAUUGCAAAUCCUUAUUCGUGUGGUCAAGACCGAGUUCUCGAUGAUUGUGCUGGAAACGGAACAAAAGAUGAUUGUUAUUUCUACGAUUACUCUUUCUUUUUACAGCAAUUGUCAGUGGAGUUAUCGUUAUGUGUGUGGUGUGCUGUGUUUGUCGUCUCGACUACACCGCACACUAACGCAGGUUGAACACGCCUGAUUUAUUUAGUUUUUUUAUCGUGUGGGGUCGCUCAUAUUUAAAAAAAAUGAUGGUAAAAAUCGGCACGUUGUGUACCGAGCUUAACAAGAGUAGUGAGAGAAACAAACACCCGUUAAUUGUAAAUGAAUUUGUAAAUAAGAUGUGCGCCAACUUUCAGACAAAUGAUGAAAGUAAUUACUGUUGGCCUUUUGGCACCCACCUGUGACAAACCAGCUGUGAUAAGCCAGUCCAUACAUGAACUGCUGGAACAAUGACCUAAAGACAAGAAGGGGCCAAUAUAAAUAUUUAAUGACGUGUAUUUUGUAGCAAGCAGGACAAAGCAUUAGGUAAUGUGAUCCAAUACCAAAUCGAGCCAUUACAAAGAUAAUCAUGCUGUGUCUUCAUUCAUAGAGGUAUUCAUUUAAAGGAAAUAUAUGCAUCCCCCCCACAAUUAAAAGUAGUUCCCAGGUGUCUUCGCCUUUUGACUUUGACACGAUUCCCCGUAGUUGCUUGAAAAAGGCAGAUAUUCACAGUCUAGCUGUCAAGUCGUGGGCGGAAAACCUCAGCGUGGGGCGGUUUUAGGGCAAUUCAAUUCCGGAUCGCUUGCUUACAGACCCUUAUUAAGAAAUAGGCUCACAAUUUCUUGUUGUGUAAUUUCACACUUGAUGGUUGAGCAGGCAUUCCAGAGACCAAACUAUUUCUAUUCACGCCAAUAAAAAGUCAAUUAUCCGUAAUGUUUCUCUUCACAAUGUUUAUUAUUGUGGCUGAAAUUCGCAGUGGGGUAGAACUGCACUACUUUCUAAUAUUUUGACCAUCUAAUGAUAUCAACUAAAUAUUUAAAAAAAACUAUUCUCAGCAUUCAAGUCGCUCCACACCCCUGCAAACUACAAGCACAAUAAUAAACACUGUUAAAUUAUUACCUAGAAACAGAACGGUUGAUAGUAAAUCCGUUUUGAAUGUUAUUACGCCCUGCAGGUGUGCCGAAUAAAAUUUCUAGUGAGGGUAUAUAAUAAUCAUGAGGUAAAUUUCUCACCAUGCAGCAGCAGACGUCCACCAAGCCAGGUUAACAAAAUCUGCAAUCGUGGGCUGCGGACGUGACAAUGAGUGAAUGUAAAAUUAUUACAUACUGUAUGUAUAUACGACCCCAAUUCAAAUGAAGUU